rnacentral:rRNA from 1 species
CGUAGGAGGCGAGCGUUAUCCGGAGUUCUGGGCGUAAAGCGCAUGUAGGCGGUUGGAUAAGUUGCGUGUGAAAAGCUCCUGGCUAAACUAGGAGAGGACAGGCAAGACUGUUCGGCUAGAGGGUGGUAGAGGGGCACAGAAUUCGGGGUGUAGCGGUGAAAUGUGUAGAGAUCCCGAGGAAUACCAGUGGUGAAGACGGUGCCCUGGGCCAUACCUGACGCUGAGAUGCGAAAGCGUGGGGAGCGAACGGGAUUAGAGACCCCGGUAGUCCACGCCGUAAACGAUGCUGACUAGGUGUUCACUAGGCGACAGUCUAGGGAGUGCCGAAGCUAACGCGAUAAGUCAGCCGCCUGGGGAGUACGGUCGGCAAGGCUA